rnacentral:rRNA from 1 species
CGAGUGGCGAACGGGUGAGUAACGCGUGAGGAACCUGCCUCAAAGAGGGGGACAACAGUUGGAAACGACUGCUAAUACCGCAUAAGCCCACGGGUCGGCAUCGACCAGAGGGAAAAGGAGCAAUCCGCUUUGAGAUGGCCUCGCGUCCGAUUAGCUAGUUGGUGAGGUAAUGGCCCACCAAGGCGACGAUCGGUAGCCGGACUGAGAGGUUGAACGGCCACAUUGGGACUGAGACACGGCCCAGACUCCUACGGGAGGCAGCAGUGGGGAAUAUUGCACAAUGGGGGGAACCCUGAUGCAGCGACGCCGCGUGGAGGAAGAAGGUCUUCGGAUUGUAAACUCCUGUUGUUGGGGAAGAUAAUGACGGUACCCAACAAGGAAGUGACGGCUAACUACGUGCCAGCAGCCGCGGUAAAACGUAGGUCACAAGCGUUGUCCGGAAUUACUGGGUGUAAAGGGAGCGCAGGCGGGAAGACAAGUUGGAAGUGAAAUCUAUGGGCUCAACCCAUAAACUGCUUUCAAAACUGUUUUUCUUGAGUAGUGCAGAGGUAGGCGGAAUUCCCGGUGUAGCGGUGGAAUGCGUAGAUAUCGGGAGGAACACCAGUGGCGAAGGCGGCCUACUGGGCACCAACUGACGC